UGAUGUAGAGAGAGCUGGUUGGUGAGGAUGCUCAGAGGAUGGAUUGGUGUGCCGGGUUGGGCUGGUGUGUUGGCCAACUCAACACACCAGCUCAACCGGAUCCUGGUCCGUGAUUCUUGACGCCAUCCGCCCACCCCUCGGAUGUCACCAGUCUUCGCUUACCAGGAUCACCACCCGAACACGCCAAGCCAUCCCAACACACCAAGCCAUCCCAACACGCCAAGCCAUCCCAACACGCCAAGCCAUCCCAACACGCCAAGCCAUUCCAACACGCCAAGCCAUCCCAACACGCCAAGCCAUCCCAACACGCCAAGCCAUUCCAACACGCCAAGUUUAGUAUCAAUCCCACCAAGGAGGUUAAUCCAAGGUCAGCAAAUGUUAAGUAUUAAUCCCACCAAGGAGGUUAAUCCAAGGUCAGCAAAUGUUAAGUAUUAAUCCCACCAAGGAGGUUAAUCCAAGGUCAGCAAAUAUUAAGUAUUAAUCCCAUCAAGGAGGUUAAUCCAAGGUCAGCAAACGUUAUAAGACCCACUCGGGUGAUCAGUCCGGGUGAGCCUGGACCUGACAACCACGGAGCGAGACGGUGGUACCAGUCCGUCAGGCCACCGUAGGGAGGUCUGAGGAGGGAGGACAGUGUUCGUGACCGGGGUGUGAAACAGGAGCCACCAGUGCUGUGGGCCGAUGUUGGUGUAACCUGUGUCAUUGGCUCUCAUUUGCCUCGACAUUCUGACUCACAGAUAUGUUGCAUCACUAACCACAUGAUUAAGGAGUUUGUCUAUGAGGGCAAUGGUGGAGGACAUGCUCUGCUACAAGGAGCUGUACGUUAAAAAGAAGAAGGAGGUGUGCCAGACAAUAAUCACCUCCUUUUUCAAACCCUGCCACAGUCAGAGCCAUUGCCAUAGACUUCUGACACCUCUCCAGUCCCACCCAGGAACUUCACCCUCUUUAAAGCCAGGCCGAAGCCUACACCUCCAGCCCCCAAAGUAGAAGCCCCUUCUAAGACUCCGACUCCCACUCUGUCUCCAGCCUCGCUGGACUCCCCAGAGAUUGUGUCGGAGUCAGAGUGACAUUUCCACUCCACCUACAAGAGACCCCUUGGCCUUAAAGAGGACAUGUGAUGAUGACCAGACUUAUUUUUCAGGAUGUGAUGAGUGUUGUUUAAUUGUUUUGUACUGACAGUAGUAUUGUAGGAAGUGUUUUGUCAGUGAUACAUGUGUGUUUGGGGACUGACUGGGAAUAUAUCCCAUUGAACCCCGUGUUAUAAUGCUCCCUAUCUAUGAUAAUUCACUUAACAAUGGAUUUUUCAGGAACUUAACCCCAUUGUUUAUGAGGUUUACCUGAACUUGAAUUUCACAAGCACUGGGGUAUGGUGUGUGAUACCAGCUGUAUGACAUGAUGGGGUUAACCAGAUGGAUAUUUUGGCCUUUGAUGUGGUAGUUGGUACCAAGGACAAGACUACAGUAUUUGCAAUUUUAGCAUUUAUGAAUCUUCUGAAGAUUAGGCCCCAACAAUGCUCACCCCAGUUUAACCAGCCUGAACUUUAACCACCAUUAAACUAUCUGAAGGCCAAUCUUCAUGUGAUCUCUAAAGGCUAAAAUUGUGAAUGGUUUUGUUAAUAAUCUUGACAACAUCACUGAUCUUGUAAAAAUGGUCACCAUUGUAGAAUACCUCCAGUAAGACAGCUUGAAGAAACAUGUGACAAUAAAGGAGUGUGUGUGUGUUGUUCUUCAUUAUGGCUCCAUGAGUAAAAAAGAAACUUGGAAGUAGUAACAUACAAAUACCAUUCUGAUUUUAAUUGUCAAUGAUUUCCCAUCUUCUACCAUUGCCUCAAACCUCUUAUAACUAUUUUCCCUUGUUCAGGAUUAUUUUAGUAAAUAAAUGGCACUUAUAACUUAAUUAGACCUGAGUUUAUAGUCUCCGGCAUAAACAGUUCUGACAUUUUUUAUAUAAAACAAUUGAGACCCCAUCAUUAUACUGUAUUGUUGUUUAAGGAUCUUUUAUUAAAACUGUCUUGUAGAAAAUAUAUUCAGAAUCAUUAAGAAACCAAAUUCUUCUCUCUAACACGAUUAGGACAGAUGCUGUGGAAAUAUUUUUUUUAAAGUACCUCUACACUUUUUUGCAAGCUAUAAAUAUUUUUGCUUGUGACCGCAGCCUAAAUGUAAUGGGAGAGUGUUUGCCCAUGUGAGAUGAGUAGUUUAGUCGUUUAGACUCUCGGAAAACUUUCCCUAGAACCUGGAAACAUUCUGGGGAUGUGCAAUUUUACUUUUAUCCUCUUAGCCACUGAUCGGCUCAUUAGCCGUUUGGGCGGUUACAUGCUGCUGGCAAGUACUGGGCAUGCACUGGCUCUUGAAUAUACCUGAAC
rnacentral:lncRNA from 1 species